AAUUAUUUUUAACUUCCUUAACAUCCAACAUAUUUCCAGAAAAAGAUUGUCCUCAGAUAAUCUACACAAUACUAAUCCAUUCUUCUCAGGAUACUUCAGUAAAAUUGUUAGAUCAUAGUCUCAUAGAACAAGAUGUAUGGUUACACGCUCAUCCCUUCUGCUUAUAUGACACAAUCAUCAUUCAACAUUAACUUCACAAGACGACAUUCAACUCUUGAGUCUGACCCAUGAUGCACUUUCUCAAUAGCUCUUUUUUCAACAUGUUAGGACAAUCAGACACACAAGACGGCUGACAAAUCGAAGGCAUGGAAACAACUCUAUCAACUUGCAUCCAAUAUACGCCCACGAUGCCCAAAUGAUCGAAGGCACAAAGAACAUCCAACAAACUGAAGACACGACAUCAACACCAUCAACCUCGGGUAAUAUCCUCAUGUUGUUCUUCACGUGUGUCAGCAUUUGGUCUCAGCUCAACCUUUCUUCUAAUCUUCGAUGUCAAAACUCUUCUGAGACUGAACUGUACACCAUGAUUUUUUUCUAUGCAUCCACACACUGCCAUGACAGUAGUGUGAAAGCUACAAAAAGAAUAACACUAUUGAACACUUACUGAUUUAUAGUGCCAUACCGGAUAACAAUAUUGAUCUCCAGAUGUACUGUAUGUGACACCUUCAUUAUUAGUCUCUAUAUCUCCAAAUGCACAUACAUGUCUGCAGUGGCAAAACACUAUUAAGAAAACUUUAUAUGUCACUGACAAAAUCAAAUUUGCAGAGAUGACAGUCCAACAUACGUCAGCACUAGCAGCUCACCAUACAAAAAGAAAGAAAGAUCAAGCUCUAAACUCAAGGAGCACAAAGCGGACAAGGACUGCAGAGGGAAGAAGAAAUAUGAACACAGAGGCUCCUAAACAAUUGAGAAAGGAUAAUGAUAAAGAAGAUAAGGAAUUGAAGCGUGCAAGAAGCGAAAGCAACAAAAUUAACACUAGAGUCAAUGUUGGAGACAACAACAGAACCACAACCUCAACAAGUACUAAUAGAAAGGCACGGAACUUCGGAAGGCCAACAUACAAAUGCUAAUAUUGCAAAUAUUGCUAUGGUGUGAAGAAAGAUUAAAUUCAACAAAGGAACUACGACACCCUCUUUUGGAAUAUGCUGCAAACAGGGAAAAAUUAAUCUGCCACCACUAAGAGAGCCUCCACCAUACCUCAGAAACCCCUUAAGAAGUGAAGGGCAGGAUUAUAAGGUCAUACAACUCAAUGGUAUCAUUCACAUCGAUGUGAGGAGUUGUGGACAAGUAAAUGAACACUCACAAAGGACAUUCUGUUUUUCGUUUGCAUGGACAAAACUACCACCACAUCGGAACUCUUUUACCUGAAGGUGCAGAUAAACCUCGGUUCACAUAGCUGUACAUCUAUAAUAACAUAAAUUAGGUGGCAAACAGGAUAAGUGCGUCAAGAUGCAAUGAUAAUAAAUCAACAGUGGACCCCAACAUCGUCAAAGAACUGCAAAUAAUUCUCAACGACAACAACAUCCUUGCAACAACAAGCUAGGAAUAUAUUUGCCUAAGGAAGCAUUCUGCCAUGGACAACUGUAUGUGGCAUUAUAAAGAGUGAUAAACAAGGAACGAUUGAAGGUGCUGAAUGAAACUGAAGUUGCCGCAAAGAAUAUUGUUUAUAAAGAGAUAUUCUAAUUUACAAUGUAGUUCAUCAAGUCAACAAAACUAGAAUUUUGCAUAGGCAAUGCAUGUGCAAUUACAUAGAGUCGAUAUAUACAUGUCUGAUCUUUCCACAAAAUAUUACUUUUUUUAUUAGUUAUUUAUUAUCCCUGGAUAUUUUUAUCUCUCUUCUAUCAAAAAUUUGAAGCAUGGAUAUUUUCACAUAGCUACAUACUCCAUCCAUUUCGAAAUAUAAGCCUUUUUAGAGAUUUCAAUACAGACUACAUACAGAUUUAUAUAGACAUAUUUUAGAGUGUAGAUUCACUCAUUUUGCUCCGUAUGUAGUCCAUAUUGGAACCUCUAAAAAAUAUAUUUAGAAAUGGAGGGAGUACUAUAUUUGAUCGUUCUAGAGAAAGUUCACAGAUAAAUUCCACCUAAAUAGCGAUUACUAAUAUCUCUCGCACUAACACUCUCAUCACUCUCACGAAUAGUCUCUCUAACAAAUAGGCAUCAACAUAGCCUCCUCAACCGAAAAAAUGUAUGUGUAUUCACGUAUAUAAAUGUUAACAAGUACAGACAAGACAAUGAGUUAUUGAAAGAUUAUAGGUGUUAUAGGUAGUAGGCAAAACAAUGAAGUAUUGAGCACCUUUUGCUAUAUGGAACUUCAUAUAAUUAAUACGGAUGUGUUGAAGAGACAAUCUAAGAUGAAGAGAUGAUCUAAGUUUGGCAGAAUGUCAACUGGAAAAAAGUUAAUUCCCCAAAACAACGCAAGGUAAGCAAAAAGGCAGGGGGAUAUGAGCAACCUAACAUAAAUUGAGGCAAGUCUUUGCUCGCUUGAUCCUAAAAAAACUCCACGCGCAUAUUGGUCACCACUCUGCAUUUGCCCUUCCCAGCUUCUAAGUAGUACCUCACCAGAGAACACCCUCUGCAUCUGGCGAGCAUGAAAAUUAUGAGUAAGAAGAAACCGUGCAAAGAAAAAAAAAGAAGACAGAGAAAGGUCAGGAGACCAUAAGCAUCUCCUUAUCUCCACCUGAAAAAAUCUCCAUUAGCUGCAGGAAGGGGAUAACAGGAGACCACUAGCC
rnacentral:lncRNA from 1 species